rnacentral:rRNA from 1 species
GACGAACGCUGGCGGCGUGCUUAACACAUGCAAGUCGAACGGAAAGGCCCUGCUUUUGUGGGGUGCUCGAGUGGCGAACGGGUGAGUAACACGUGAGUAACCUGCCCUUGACUUUGGGAUAACUUCAGGAAACUGGGGCUAAUACCGGAUAGGAGCUCCUGCUGCAUGGUGGGGGUUGGAAAGUUUCGGCGGUUGGGGAUGGACUCGCGGCUUAUCAGCUUGUUGGUGGGGUAGUGGCUUACCAAGGCUUUGACGGGUAGCCGGCCUGAGAGGGUGACCGGCCACAUUGGGACUGAGAUACGGCCCAGACUCCUACGGGAGGCAGCAGUGGGGAAUAUUGCACAAUGGGCGGAAGUCUGAUGCAGCAACGCCGCGUGCGGGAUGACGGCCUUCGGGUUGCAAACCGCUUUCGCCUGUGACGAAGCGUGAGUGACGGUAAUGGGUAAAGAAGCACCGGCUAACUACGUG